CCUACGGGUGGCAGCAGUGGGGAAUAUUGCACAAUGGGCGAAAGCCUGACGCAGCGACGCCGCGUGAGGGAUGAAGGUCUUCGGAUCGUAAAGCACUUUCAGCAGGGAAGAACGCUCACUGUGCUAUUCAGCAGUCAAUUGACGUUACCUGCAAAGGAAGCACCGGCUAACUCCGUGCCAGCAGCCGCGGUAAUACGGAGGGUGCGAGCGUUAAUCGGAAUUACUGGGCGUAAAGCGCACGUAGGCGGUCUGUCAAGUCAAGGGUGAAAUCCCCGGGCUCAACGUGGGAACUGCCUUUGAAACUGGCAAGCUAGAGUGUGGUAGAGGAUGGUAGAAUUCCAGGUGUAGGGGUGAAAUGCGUAGAGAUCUGGAGGAAUAUUAGUGGCGAAGGCGACCAUCUGGAAAAAAACUGACGCUGAGGAGCGAAAGCGUGGGGAGCAAACAGGAUUAGAUACCCGAGUAGUC
rnacentral:rRNA from 1 species